rnacentral:sRNA from 1 species
GCAAGUCGAACGGUAACAGGAAACAGCUUGCUGUUUCGCUGACUAGUGCCGGACGGGUGAGUAAUGUCUGGGAAACUGCCUGAUGGAGGGGGAUAACUACUGGAAACGGUAGCUAAUACCGCAUAACGUCGCAAGACCAAAGAGGGGGACCCUCGGGCCUCUUGCCAUCGGAUGUGCCCAGAUGGGAUUAGCUUGUUGGUGGGGUAACGGCUCACCAAGGCGACGAUCCCUAGCUGGUCUGAGAGGAUGACCAGCCACACUGGAACUGAGACACGGUCCAGACUCCUACGGGAGGCAGCAGUGGG